GUGUUUUAGGUGCAGCUAAAUCUUCUCCGCUGUAUGUAUACUACAGAGAAUUCUUUCCUGGGUGUCUGGCUGGGAUCCAAUCGGUAACCUCCAGAGCGAGGCUGAUGUACCCCGAGAGCUUGAAGUAAAGAACCAACUUCUACAGCAGGGAGCUGAAGUUAAUUCGUGUUCUCUUGAAAGAGACAAGCAUUUUUACCCUCUGUGAGUUCAUUCGAGAGCACAGUGAUUGUCUGGUCGUUGGGGCAUUUUGUGCCCUGGGCGAGGUACCACAGGUUUUGUGGUAGGCAGGUGUGGGACCCUUGGAUCUUGAAAGAAACAGCUAGAAACUGAGAAGCAGAAGAUUGUGUCUGAAUUUCAGCAACUGCACCAGUUUUUGGAGGAACAAGAGCAACUCCGCCUGACCCAGCUGGAAGAGCUGAAUAAGGAAAUUGAAAAGGGGAGGGCUGAGUAUGUUGCCAAAUUAUCUGAGGAAAUACCUUCUUUCAGUUCCCUGAUCAGUGAGAUGGAGCAGAAGUGCCAGCAGCCAGCGAGGGAAUUCCUGCAGGACAUCAAAGACACCUUGAGCAGGUACGUGGCUCCUUCUCGCUCUCCCUUUCACUCCCCAAUGCAGGGAAGGGGUUUUAAACAUGACACAUUGCUCCCCAUAGUCCAGCAGUGCAGAGUGUGGGGCUGGUUCCCAAUCUCUCUCCAUUAAAUCUAAUCUUGGGGCUGUUGUCAUUUUGACUAGACUCCAGAAUAGAGCAGCCUGAGAAAAGAGUUAUAUACCUAUAGACAGGGUAUCAAUUUAUAGUGUAGCUGGUGGAACGGAGACCUCAGAAGAUUGGGGAUGGAGAAUGGGUCUCUCAUUUCUAGGUCAUAGACUCCAAACUCCACCUAGGUUGGUAGGGAUGGAAAGUCAGGGCCAUCUGAUGACUAUUCAAUGAGCUGUUAUUAAUUGUUUUUUAUUUUGCAGUGAGCACUCUACCCACAGAGUCGGUGCCUAUGUAUCACAGGUCCUUAAAUUUCACCCAGUUAUUCCUGUCUUCAGCCCAAUAACUUGUAUUUGACUAAAUCCUAGCUUGUAUUGACUAAAGCACCUUCCAGAAACUCAUUCAGUCUAGAGCUAAAGACAUCAACAGACAGUGACACGUGAAGCUCCCUAGAAGUGGGGGGUGGCCACCAGUGCCCAAACCGUGGCCCCACCCCUGCUCCACCUCUUCCCCCGAGACCCCACCCCUACUCAGUCCUCUCCGCCCCCUCCCCCCAUCACUUGCCUUUAACGCAGGUAAAAAGGGUUUGAGCAGAGCUCUCCCACUUUUAAAAGUGAUGGGGCCACAGCCCCCCUGUUCUGGUGCAUCUGUCAAGAAAUGGAGAAUCCACCACUUCCCUUGGCAGUUUCUUUUAAUGGUUAAUGCACCUGCACUCUUCAAAACAUUUCUCUUAUUUCCCAUUUGAAUUUCUCUGGCUUCAGCUUCCUACAAUUUGUCCUUGUUGUGCCUUUGGUUGCUAAAUUAAGGAGCUCUUUUGUAACAACUAUAUUCUCCCCAUGAUGGUUUUUAUACCUCAAACUCAAGUGCCAGUGUUCUCUCAGUGCAGAGCAUUUUUACCACCCUCAUAUCAGUUUUGUGGGUCUUCUCUGCACCGUCUCCACUUUUUCAAUGUCCGUUUUAAAAUGGGGACCCCAGAACUGGAGGCAGUUUUCCAAUAUCGGUCUCAGCAAAAUGAAGGGGAAGCUUGUAGUGUCCAAGCUGGGAUUGGACCUAUUCCUGGGGCAAUAGAGACUUUAAUCCUCCAGGGUCUGCUGAGCUACAACCAUUCACUAGAAUAAAAUACAUUUUAGUAAAAAAUAUGACUGAACUCCACAACGAGUAACACUGGGUUGCUCUUCAGAUGCGAGAGGGAGAAGUUUCAGAACCCAGUGGCCUUUUCUUCUGACCUGAAAUGGAGAAUCUGGGAAUCUUCUCAAAUAAAUGCAUCUCUGGAGAAAAUAAUGAAGAAAUUCAAAGACUCACUGUCGUCUAGACAGCGGUUGGACAAACGUAAAUUUCUCGGAUCAAAGGGGGAGUGAAAACUUUCAUAUGAAUUAUGGUGGCUCAUUGGCAGCACCAUAGUUCGGGUUUUGUUUCAAUUUUG